rnacentral:lncRNA from 1 species
AAGGCCUCCUCUUAAGAGAACGGCAUAGGCUGCAGAUACAUUAUAGAGACCAUCAGCUAAUAUUUUACUACCGUUAAAUCCAUUAGCCUUAUGAAGUUACCAGAGAGUCAUUCAUUGUAGACAAAGUUUACCCAAACACUGCACUCUGCAGCAUAUUGAAAUUAAUAAACACGGAAGAGAAAAGGAACUAUCAGAAGAGAGUGAGAAAGGACAGAAUGACGCCCCAAAAGGAGAAUCAAGUGUGUAUGGUAUCCUGGAAUCAAGCGGAAAACGCAUUUUCAGGAAGAAGAAUGCUGAAGAUGCAUCAAGCAUGUUUGAGUGCUGAAGCUGAACUGCAGUCGCCAUUGCUUUUUUUUCUCAUACCACCUAUGUUUGGAGAGAUUUUUCAAGCUCAUCAUUUUCUUCAUCAAAACCACAUUUGAAUUCCAAGCUAUUAUCUAAUCUUUUAAUCUUCAACAAUUUGAACAAACUAGAAAUGUGUUUCCUGGCAAGGAGAAUGACUUCUUCAAACCGAAAAAUGGGGUGCAUGACUGAACAUCUCCUCUCCUUUAAAAGACAUUCUAUUCUGGACUGCACCCUUUGUUUUGAUAAGGGAGUAGAGCUUAAGCAAGAUGAUUAUGCUUCUAUGGAAUAAAAUAUGACUGGAUUAACUGUGACAGGUGAAAUGAGAAUAAAACUUGUCGAGAUGGGACUUGAGUCAUUUCUAAAAGAAUUUUUAAUUCUCAAAGUUUAUUGUAAUUCUUCAUGCGUUAGACAUUAGUUUAAUCUUUGAAAAUUUGUGCUUUGGAGACUAUGAUUCUAUGUGGCAAUAUAUGAUGAC